GUGUUUAAGUACUCAAUUGCUUGUUUUACUUCCUUUUCUGUGUAUGGGUCAAUUGAUGGCAAAUUCUGACUGAAAGUUUCCUCAACUAUUUUCUGUCUUAUUUGGCAGAGUUCCAGAUAUGCAUUGUCAUAUUCGUUCUCUUUUGGAAGGCUGAGAUCUUCGUAGUAGUUUGCGAAGGAUCGGCUUUGAUUUUGGGAAGAGAAGUCAAAUUUACCGUCAAUUUCCAAGCCAGAUGUUUCCGUUUUAGACUUUGAUUUAUU
rnacentral:lncRNA from 1 species